rnacentral:rRNA from 1 species
AUUGAACGCUAGCGGGAUGCUUUACACAUGCAAGUCGAACGAGUGGCGUACGUGUUAGUAAUAUAUCGGAACGUGCCCAGUAGCUGGGGAUAACUACUCGUAAGUGUUGCUAAUACCGCCUACUAUUGGAGCGGCCGAUUUCGGAUUAGCUAGUUGGUGGGGUAAAGGCUCACCAAGGCAACUAUCCGUAGCUGGUUUGAGAGGACGACCAGCCACACUGGGACUGAGACACGGCCCAGACUCCGACGGGAGGCAGCAGUGGGGAAUAUUGGACAAUGGGGGAAACCCUGAUCCAGCCAUCCCGCGUGUAUGAGAAGGCCUUCGGGUUGUAAAGUACUUUUGGCAGAGAAGCGGUAUCUGCAGAAUAAGCACCGGCUAACUACGUGCCAGCAGCCGCGGUAAUUC